rnacentral:rRNA from 1 species
UACGUAGGGUGCGAGCGUUUAAUCGGAAUUACUGGGCGUAAAGCGUGCGUAGGCGGUUCGCUGUGUCCGAUGUGAAAGCCCCGGGCUUAACCUGGGAAUGGCAUUGGAAACUGGCGGGCUUGAGUGCGGGCAGAGGGGGGUGGAAUUCCGCGUGUAGCAGUGAAAUGCGUAGAGAUGCGGAGGAACACCGGAUGGCGAAGGCAGCCCCCCUGGGGUCGACACUGACGCUCAGGCACGAAAGCGUGGGGGAGCAAACAGG